rnacentral:rRNA from 1 species
UACGUAGGGUGCAAGCGUUAAUCGGAAUUACUGGGCGUAAAGCGUGCGCAGGCGGUUGUGCAAGACAGAUGUGAAAUCCCCGGGCUCAACCUGGGAACUGCAUUUGUGACUGCACAGCUUGAGUGCGGCAGAGGGGGAUGGAAUUCCGCGUGUAGCAGUGAAAUGCGUAGAUAUGCGGAGGAACACCGAUGGCGAAGGCAAUCCCCUGGGCCUGCACUGGACGCUCAUGCACGAAAGCGUGGGGAGCAAACAG